rnacentral:rRNA from 1 species
UACGGAAGGCAGCAGUGGGGAAUAUUGCACAAUGGGCGAAAGCCUGAUGCAGCUAUGCCGCGUGUAUGAAGAAGGCCUUAGGGGUUGUAAAGUACUUUCAUCGGGGAGGAAAAACAAAACUAAUAAUUUUAUUUCUUGACGUUACCCGAAAAAGAAGCACCGGCUAACUCCGUGCCAGCAGCCGCGGUAAUACGGAGGGUGCUAGCGUUAAUCAGAAUUACUGGGCGUAAAGAGCACGUAGGUGGUUUUUUUAAGUCAGAUGUGAAAUCCCUGGGCUUAACCUAGGAACUGCAUUUUGAAACUGAAAUACUAGAGUAUCGUAGAGGGAGGUAGAAUUCUAGGUGUAGCGGUGAAAUGCGUAGAUAUCUGGAGGAAUACCUGUGGCGAAAGCGGCCUCCUAAACGAAUACUGACACUGAGGUGCGAAAGCGUGGGGAGCGAAACAGGGAUUAGAUA